UACGAAGGGGGCUAGCGUUGCUCGGAAUCACUGGGCGUAAAGCGCACGUAGGCGGACUCUUAAGUCAGGGGUGAAAUCCCGGAGCUCAACUCCAGAACUGCCUUUGAUACUGAAGAUCUUGAGUUCGGGAGAGGUGAGUGGAACUGCGAGUGUAGAGGUGAAAUUCGUAGAUAUUCGCAAGAACACCAGUGGCGAAGGCGGCUCACUGGCCCGAUACUGACGCUGAGGCACGAAAGCGUGGGGAGCAAACAGG
rnacentral:rRNA from 1 species